rnacentral:rRNA from 1 species
CUACGGGAGGCUGCAGUCGAGAAUCUUCCACAAUGGACGAAAGUCUGAUGGAGCGACGCCGCGUGCGGGAUGAAGGCCUUCGGGUUGUAAACCGCUUUUAUAGAGGAAAAAUUUCGAUGAUGGUACUCUAUGAAUAAGAGGUUGCUAACUCUGUGCCAGCAGCAGCGGUGAAUACAGAGACCUCAAGCGUUAUCCGGAUUUAUUGGGCGUAAAGGGUGCGUAGGCGGAUAUAAUAGUCAGGUGUUAAAUUACUGAGCUCAACUUAGUAACCGCACUUGAAACGUUAUAUCUAGAAACAGGUAGAGGUUAACGGAACUCAUGGUGUAGUAGUGAAAUGCGUUGAUAUCAUGGGGAACACCAAAGGCGAAGGCAGUUAACUGGGCCUUGUUUGACGCUGAGGCACGAAAGCGUGGGUAGCGAACGGGAUUAGAUACCCUUGUAGUC